rnacentral:rRNA from 1 species
AGUGAACGCUGGCGGUAGGCCUAACACAUGCAAGUCGAACGGCAGCACAGUAAGAGCUUGCUCUUACGGGUGGCGAGUGGCGGACGGGUGAGGAAUACAUCGGAAUCUACUUUUUCGUGGGGGAUAACGUAGGGAAACUUACGCUAAUACCGCAUACGACCUACGGGUGAAAGCAGGGGAGCUUCGGACCUUUCGCGAUUGUAUGAGCCGAUGUCGGAUUAGCUAGUUGGCGGGGUAAAGGCCCACCAAGGCGACGAUCCGUAGCUGGUCUGAGAGGAUGAUCAGCCACACUGGAACUGAGACACGGUCCAGACUCCUACGGGAGGCAGCAGUGGGGAAUAUUGGACAAUGGGCGCAAGCCUGAUCCAGCCAUACCGCGUGGGUGAAGAAGGCCUUCGGGUUGUAAAGCCCUUUUGUUGGGAAAGAAAAGCAGCAGGUUAAUACCCCGCUGUUCUGACGGUACCCAAAGAAUAAGCACCGGCUAACUUCGUG